rnacentral:rRNA from 1 species
GACGAACGCUGGCGGCGUGCUUAACACAUGCAAGUCGAACGGAAAGGCCCUGCCUUUGUGGGGUGCUCGAGUGGCGAACGGGUGAGUAACACGUGAGUAACCUGCCCUUGACUUUGGGAUAACUUCAGGAAACUGGGGCUAAUACCGGAUAGGAGCUCCUGCUGCAUGGUGGGGGUUGGAAAGUUUCGGCGGUUGGGGAUGGACUCGCGGCUUAUCAGCUUGUUGGUGGGGUAGUGGCUUACCAAGGCUUUGACGGGUAGCCGGCCGGAGAGGGUGACCGGCCACAUUGGGACUGAGAUACGGCCCAGACUCCUACGGGAGGCAGCAGUGGGGAAUAUUGCACAAUGGGCGGAAGCCUGAUGCAGCAACGCCGCGUGCGGGAUGACGGCCUUCGGGUUGUAAACCGCUUUCGCCUGUGACGAAGCGUGAGUGACGGUAAUGGGUAAAGAAGCACCGGCUAACUACGUG